GGAGAGGUGGCAGAGUGGUCAAAUGCGCACGCUUGGAAAGCGUGUAUGGCGGCAACGUCAUCGUGGGUUCGAAUCCCACUCUCUCCG
rnacentral:tRNA from 1 species